rnacentral:tRNA from 1 species
UCUCCGGUAGCUCAGUUGGCAGAGCAAUUGACUGUUAAUCAAUGGGUCGCUGGUUCGAGCCCAGCCCGGAGAGCCA